GUCCUUGAAUGAAUUUCCAUUGAAAUUACUGAAUAAAGUUUAGUUUUUUACUGCAAAUCUGUGCCAUUUUCAAAGAAUUUUCGCAGUUCUAUAGGUCCUGGAAUUUACUGAAAAAGGGCCUUGAAAGUCCUGGAAAAGUCCUUGGAUUUCACCUUCACCAAAGGGUGGACAGACUGAAACAACUCGCAAACCAGGAUCAAAGUUAUC
rnacentral:lncRNA from 1 species